ensembl:lncRNA
GAGAGUUUAGGAUGAGAAUAAGUGAUCCUGAAAAAAUAGCAAAAAUAUUAAGCAGUUGUAUUAAAUGUUUUCAAAACUGAUAAUAAUAAGAACCACUAAAAAUUAUUGAGCAGCAAAUCAGCAUAUUAGAAUGAUUUCUAAGGAUCACAUGACACUGAAGACUUGAGUAAGCUCUUCUUUUAUGUAUUCUGUCCUGUUGUCUGUAUGGAUGUCCAUUGGAUAGACUUGGUGUGACAGUCCUGAUGUUCAUGGCUUGGUGGUCCCACCAAGACCCGGGCCUUCCUUUUUGAGACCAAACCACAUGGUCCAACAGUCCCAGCAGAAACCGGCUCUGCAGGAACACAUCACCCACUGACCAGACAAGCUGGCACACAGAUGGACAGCUCACCAAAAUACACACAAAAACACAACCCCACAUUGUUGUGAUGGGGUCAUGCCCGGUGCUAUUGUGAAAUCGACAUGUGCUAAAGCAGAAAAAACAAAGAUAAGAACAGAGUCAUUUAAUAAAGUGCAAUCCCCUAAAGUAUGACCACAUUGUUACAUUACACAUUCGUAGAAUCAUUUUUCGUAUCAAAAAAUACUUGAACAACUGCAUUAUCUGUCCCUGUCAACGUAAAGCCUUUUGAGUUUUCUUCUCGUAAAGACGCAUUUGCUGAGACAUUCCCACAACUCUUUGGGUAUCCAGGUGCAGAGUUGGGAAAUUCUGCUGAAAAUUUGGGGGUCAAAUGUUUUCGAAACUCUCAAAGGGACACAGAGUUUAUAAGGCAAUAAAAGUCUUGUGUUUUAGCAACAGCAAUGAGUAAAAGGCAAAGUGAGUCUGACUGCAGGCUGAUGGAGUUCUACUCUGUUAUUUACAAUGUCAGUUAGGCUGAUUGUGAUGAUUUUGUAAUCAGUAUUUAUUUUCUCUAUAGAGAGCAGUUCCAGAUCUGAUUGGAUGGUGCCAGAAUGUUUGGGAAAUAAGGAGUUAGAGCUGACAUUUGGAUGUGAGAAUCUGGUUUGUCUUUUUUUUUUUUUUUUUUUUUUUUUUUUUUUUUUUUGAGGCUGUGGGGGUUGAUUGAGAAAAUAACAGGAUGACUUUCCCAAGCAUCCAUCUGUGAAGUUCCAACUCUCCUCCAGCUCCUGAGGUGAGAAAACCUUGACACUUUUAUGACUUUAAAUCUGAGGACUAAUGGAAAACAAACAACUGAUCAUUCGCCUCUGGAACAUCAGAUGCUUUAGCUAGCCAUCUCCAUUUGUGGAAGCAGAGGCUUUGCACUGGCUUUGAUUGAUUGUUGUUUACAUUCUGAGUUACAGUCACAUGUUUAUCUCUUUCUACUGUAAACCUCCAUCUUUUCCUCACACCUUUACAAAAAGUACAGUAGUGAUACCAUGGUACAGUGAUGGUAUCAGAUAGUAGAACCAUGGUACUUUGAUAUAGACCCUAAUACUGAAUCUUCUCUUCAUGAGACCUAGCACUAGCUUGUGUUGGUGGCUGUUUAUAGGCAUAGACACAUAAAGUCUAACUGCUGCUGCAUGUCUUUGCCAGAAGAUUUACAAGACUUCUCUCAGCCG